AAUGUUCUAAAAUUAUAGCAAAAUCCUUCAAUUAAGCUAUAGGUGCCCUGCUGGUUAUGGAAUUUUGAGGUAUCUAAAUGGACGAUGGCAACCGUUUGGAAGAUAAUUUCACCAAAUCCAAAGUUACUUAUCUUCAACGACCAAAAUCCGAAGUUGCAUAGCAUCAAGGAUUCUCCUUUCUCCUUUGGUCUGCCUAGAUGGCCAUUUUUCUUUCUCCUUCAAGCGUACAAUCUGUCCCCACAUUUGUUUCUGAAGAUUGUUUCCACAUCAAGAUGGUCCUUUCUCCUUACCAAGCGUAGACGAUGAAUCCAACCCUCAUGGCCUGUCUUCAUUUUCGACGAAAGAGAAAAUAAUUAAACAAAAGAAAUGAUAUGUUCAACCAGAAAGGAAGAACCAGAAGAUGAAGAUUCUCAAACCACGAUUGAAUCAAGUGUAAA
rnacentral:lncRNA from 1 species